GCAAACUUGGUCAUUUAGAGGAAGUAAAAGUCGUAACAAGGUCUCCGUUGGUGAACCAGCGGAGGGAUCAUUACAGAGUGUAAAAACUCCCAAAACCCAUGUGAACAUACCUAUCGUUGCUUCGGCGGGAUCGCCCCGGGCGCCUUGUGUGCCCCGGAGUCAGGCGCCCGCCGGGGGACCCAAACUCUUGUUUUUAACGAGUAUCUUCUGAGUAACGUUUUUAAAAUAAAUAAAAACUUUCAACAACGGAUCUCUUGGUUCUGGCAUCGAUGAAGAACGCAGC
rnacentral:misc_RNA from 1 species